rnacentral:rRNA from 1 species
UACGGGGGGAGCAAGCGUUGUUCGGAUUUACUGGGCGUAAAGGGCGCGUAGGCGGCCACCGCAAGUCGACUGUGAAAUCUCUGGGCUUAACCCAGAACGGUCAGCCGAUACUGCGGGGCUAGAGUGCAGAAGGGGCAACUGGAAUUCUCAGUGUAGCGGUGAAAUGCGUAGAUAUCGAGAGGAACACCUGCGGCGAAGGCGGGUUGCUGGGCUGACACUGACGCUGAGGCGCGAAAGCUAGGGGAGCGAACGGG